rnacentral:lncRNA from 1 species
CUGGGAUCUGAUGACAUACUGAUUACGAGUUACCUGGCAAACAUACCCUACAGAAAUAAGCAACCUGAAAGGAAGAAAGGCUUAUUUUGGCUCACACCUUCAGAGGUUUCAGUCCAUGGUUUCAGCAGUUCCGUUCCAACCCCAGUGACAUGUGAUGUUUGCCACAGCGUUACAACAGUCCAGCUGAUAUAGACUAAUGACUCAUCCUGCAUAGCUGCUGUGUUCAGUUUGUGUACAUCUCCGAUUUGACACCAGCCAGGAGGCCAGCCUAGGAGUAUGAACCAAAGCCAUCAGCUCUGAGCUCUCACAAGAGAAACUUUUGGGCUCCCGAGUCCGCAC